rnacentral:rRNA from 1 species
CCCCUAGAUGUCCUGGGCCGCACGCGCAAUACAAUGUAAAGUUCAGAAAGCAUGUCCUGUUCCGGAAGGCAAUGGGUAAUCUUUUCAAUAUUUUACGUGUUAGGGAUCGAUCUUUGCAAUUAUAGAUCUUGAACGAGGAAUACCUAGUAAGUGCAGCUCAUCAGGCUGUACUGAUUACGUCCCUGCCCUUUGUACACACCGCCCGUCGCUCCUACCGAUUUCGAGUGGUCCGGUGAAUCUUUUGGAAUUAGAGUGCAAACUCAAACUAAGAUCGAUAAACCUUAUCACUUAGAGGAAGGAGAAGUCGUAACA